rnacentral:rRNA from 1 species
AUUGAACGCUGGCGGCAGGCCUAACACAUGCAAGUCGAACGGUAACAGGAAGAAGCUUGCUUCUUUGCUGACGAGUGGCGGACGGGUGAGUAAUGUCUGGGAAACUGCCUGAUGGAGGGGGAUAACUACUGGAAACGGUAGCUAAUACCGCAUAACGUCGCAAGACCAAAGAGGGGGACCUUCGGGCCUCUUGCCAUCGGAUGUGCCCAGAUGGGAUUAGCUAGUAGGUGGGGUAACGGCUCACCUAGGCGACGAUCCCUAGCUGGUCUGAGAGGAUGACCAGCUACACUGGAACUGAGACACGGUCCAGACUCCUACGGGAGGCAGCAGUGGGGAAUAUUGCACAAUGGGCGCAAGCCUGAUGCAGCCAUGCCGCGUGUAUGAAGAAGGCCUUCGGGUUGUAAAGUACUUUCAGCGGGGAGGAAGGGAGUAAAGUUAAUACCUUUGCUCAUUGACGUUACCCGCAGAAGAAGCACCGGCUAACUCCGUG